GACGAACGCUGGCGGCGUGCCUAAUACAUGCAAGUUGAGCGAUGAAGAUUGGUGCUUGCACCAAUUUGAAGAGCAGCGAACGGGUGAGUAACGCGUGGGGAAUCUGCCUUUGAUCGGGGGACAACAUUUGGAAACGAAUGCUAAUACCGCAUAACAACUUUAAACAUAAGUUUUAAGUUUGAAAGAUGCAAUUGCAUCACUCAAAGAUGAUCCCGCGUUGUAUUAGCUAGUUGGUGAGGUAAAGGCUCACCAAGGCGAUGAUACAUAGCCGACCUGAGAGGGUGAUCGGCCACAUUGGGACUGAGACACGGCCCAAAAUCCUACGGGAGGCAGCAGUAGGGAAUCUUCGGCAAUGGACGAAAGUCUGACCGAGCAACGCCGCGUGAGUGAAGAAGGUUUUCGGAUCGUAAAACACUGUUGGUAGAGAAGAACGUUGGUGAGAGUGGAAAGCUCAUAAAGUGACGGUAACUACUCAGAAAGGGACGGCUAACUACGUG
rnacentral:rRNA from 1 species